rnacentral:tRNA from 1 species
UCAGAGCUUAGUAUAAUCUAAUACAUUAGCUUUGGGGGCUAAAGACCCCUAAAAGGGCGCUCUGAU